GUCAAGAAAAGCCUCGAGGAAGAGUAGUACUGCCCGUACCGCAAACCGACACAGGUACAUGAGGAGAGAAUCCUAAGGAGAGCGAGAGCACUCCCGGUAAGGAACUCGGCAAAAUGACCCCGUAACCUCGGGAGAAGGGGUGCUCUAUUAGGGUGCAAGCCCGAGAGAGCCGCAGUGAAUAGGCCCAGGCGACUGUUUAGCAAAAACACAGGUCUCUGCAAAAC
rnacentral:rRNA from 1 species